CCACCCAUCCCAACGACCGGUGAC
rnacentral:siRNA from 1 species